rnacentral:rRNA from 1 species
UGCCAGCCGCCGCGGUAAUACGGAGGGUGCAAGCGUUGUCCGGAUUUAUUGGGUUUAAAGGGUGCGUAGGUGGUCAAUUAAGUCAGUGGUGAAAUCCUGCAGCUCAACUGUAGAACUGCCAUUGAUACUGGUUGACUUGAGUAUAGACGAGGUAGGCGGAAUUUAUGGUGUAGCGGUGAAAUGCAUAGAUACCAUAAAGAACACCGAUAGCGAAGGCAGCUUACUAGACUAUAACUGACACUGAGGCACGAAAGCAUGGGUAGCGAACAGGAUUAGAUA